UACAGAGGGGGCAAGCGUUAUUCGGAAUUAUUGGGCGUAAAGGGCGCGUAGGCGGCCAUUCAAGUGACGGGUGAAAGCCCUCGGCUUAACCGAGGAACUGCCUGUCAGACUGGAUGGCUUGAGACCGGGAGAGGUGAGUGGAAUUCCCAGUGUAGCGGUGAAAUGCGUAGAGAUCCGGAGGAACACCAGAGGCGAAGGCGGCCUACUGGGCCAGUACUGACGCUGAGCCGCGAAAGCCAGGGGAGCGAACGGG
rnacentral:rRNA from 1 species